rnacentral:rRNA from 1 species
AUGUGGCGGCUCAUACAGCAACCGGACAGCCUUUGUGCACAGAUCAUGAAGGCCAAGUAUUUCCCGGACUGUGAUGUUUUGGAGGCAGGUCCGAGCCCCAAUUUGUCUUAUGCUUGGAGAAGUAUUACACACGACAUUGAUCUCAUCAGAAAGGGCGUGAUUUGGAGGGUUGGUGAUGGUCAAAACAUACAUAUUUGGGAUGAUCCAUGGAUCCCAAGGGCUUGGUCCAGGAAAGUGGUGACACCUAGAGGAAGCAGCUUGUUAACAAGGGUGUCUGAGCUCAUCGAUCCGACCACCGAGAAGUGGGACGAGGAGCUUAUCAGAGACAUGUUUUGGGAGGAGGAUGCCGCCUUAAUCCUUCAGAUACCUCUUCGGGAUGGAACCGAGGACUUCUGAGCCUGGCACUUUGACAACAAAGGUGUGUUCUCCGUUAAGCAAGCCUACAAACUGCAGCUAGUGUUCUCUGAGCACUCCGCCGAGGGGUAG